AUGCGGGAAAUGCUCGAUCCUCCGCCGCGCCGCGGCCCGGCCUUCAAGACGAAGCUGUGCGCGCUGUGGAGGCGCGGCCCCUGCCCCCGCGGCCCCUCCUGCGGCUUCGCCCACGGCGAAGGCGAGCUCCGCACGCCGCCUCCCCACUCCACCUUCCCGCCGCGCGCUGGACCUGGGGGGCGAGAUCAUAGAAUUCAUGAAUUUAGAGGCAGGCCUGAGAGAAGAAACUCACCCCGGCGGAGGUAUUCCCCUGACAGAGAUACCAGAGGCCAUUUGUUUCGUAACAAGAUGCCACCACAUUCUCGAGGAUCUAGUCAAUCAAGAUCUCCCAUCAGGAAGAGUGAGAGAAGGCCUAAGAAGAAAGUUGAUGGUGAUAAAAGUGAUUCAUCAGGAAGUUUCAACACCUCUGAAAAUGAAGAUAGAAAAAAAGAUGACAUACAUUCCAGCAGUGAUGAGAAGGAUGACGGCGAAGCAAAGCUGAAACAAAUUGCACUGGAUAUGAAAGCAUUGCAUGAAGAUAAAUCUAAACUACAGACGAUAUUGGACAAGAAAAUCGACGAAGCAGGCAUACUUUCUGGCAGAGUAGAUGAUCUUGAAUCACAGUUGAACAAAGAGAAAGAAGAUUGUGAAAGGAUGACCUCCAAAAUAAAGAAACUCAUCAAAGCAUAUGGGCGUUACGUGAAAGCACAGGAUGAUUUAAAAAGGUCUCAAGGCCGUUUUGAGAGGUUGGCUGAUUCGCUUGCUUCUGAUUCCUUGAAAUCUGGUACCAAAGAACAAGGGUCGAGUGUGAAUGCUGGUAAUGAUGACCCAUAUAAUGCUUAUGAAAUGAGCCCAGAUGAUCAGCGACAGAAGAAUGGUUCAGCAGCUAGAAAAAGAUCUGCUGCCCUUUCAACAAGCGAAGAAGAAAAAACUGGAAAGAAAAGGAGAGUGAAUGGUGACGAUAUGAUCCACGUGUCAGGGAAAUAUAGAUCAGAAGAUGCUCUGGAGUCUUUGAAAAAUAGCAAAGGAACUGAAUCUCUGAAGAAAUUAGGGGAUGAUGACAAUAAUGACGAACUAAAUGUCAUUUCUUCUGGCAAUGAUUUUACAGACAGGUACAAUGGCAACGAGGAGGAUGAUCCUGUGGACUUGUAG
rnacentral:rRNA from 1 species